AGAUAGUGAGUGUGAGGCUAUUUCCAAGCCGAAGAGGUGAGCGUCGAACGGCCCCCGACACUAUUUCCAUCAGAAAAAUUAGUGGGCACUCUUCUUCAAUCCAAUCUGAAUAAGCCAUCUCAGUUUCUUUGUCUUCGUCUUCCCCAUCGCAACCCAACUCCAUUUCCUCAUAUUUGGCCUUCCACUCUUUGGUCCAAGGAAGCAAGAGUGCCGCAGCAUGGGUCCAACAGUAAGCCGAGAGCCUGAAAGAACACAUCUUGUAGCUCAAACCUACAUUGGUAAACAGGUCUGUUCACGUCCACUAUAUCAGGCCUCAUCCAAGGGACCAAGCUGCAGAUUGCGUGAUCAGGUCCUGGUAUUGUUCCCAGUCUACCCAUCAAAUUCCAUUUAUUCAAUCCCUGUUCCCCUGUUUCCAAAGCCACUUCAGAUUCCAGAGUCCUUUCAUUCCAUGGCAACUCGUGAGUUUCCACUUUGGAUGCCUACACAAAAAAGUCUGUCAUUGAGUCGAAGAAAUCAAAAUAUUUAAAAUACUGAAAUGGAAAAAGGAAGAGGAAAAAUUGUUGGAAAAAGGAGAGAGAGAGGAGGGAGGAGAUUUGAAUAUUCUCACUGAAUGGGCUCUUCCCACACCUGCCUUCAAGACAAUGCCAAACAGCCGCUUUCAAUUCUCUCAAGUUUUAAUUAGUCGAUUGUUGAAAAUAUGAAGCAGGUUAUGUAGUUUUUGUAUUUUGCAACCAUUGUUCCUUCACAAAUAUCUUGCAAGAACUGCAAUUUGGGAAGGAUCCAAUUCACUUGGAAGCAGGCUGCAGGAAGGUGCCCUUUCCUAGGAAGGCCCAUGUUCCUUAAUUUUCUGUCGAACUCUCAUUUCCCUUGUCUUACUUCGUUGCUCUUAACAGAAAUUUUCAGACCUCUCUCUCUAUUUAUACAACUAUAGUUUAAGAAAAUUUUUGUAUCUUGAAAUGUUUUUACUCCUCCUUCCAUUAGCGGGAAUGGUGUUUCUUAGUAUUUUGAUUAUUAGAAAAUUUCUUGCCCUUUUUUGCUUAUGUAAUAUCACAUGCAAUUUUCUGUAUGGAUUUCAUCUGUUUGUGCUUUACAGAUUUAGGCAAAUCAUCACCGUGCCAUACAAUGUGUAAGAAUCUCUUUCAUUUAUACCAGUACCACUGUGUCGAUGACCUUUUCUAAACUUCCCCAAAUUUGUCAACAGAGAAGUGGGGGAGCAGGCUUAGUAACCCUAAAUGCUAGUCCCUGUCCUAGUCCAGCAGGAACUCUUCUGAGGAUUAGGUCUUUGCAUGUGAAACUUCUGAGGGAUUGGAUUCAGGGAUUCCUGAGUCUAGUUGAAUAGUUCAAUCCUUUACAGUUGAGUAUGGAUUCAGAGCCAAUUGCUAGUCCUCCCAUGCAUGGAGUGCGCCGAGUUUAUAGUGCCCUCUGGGCAUUUUAUGUUCCUCUGAAUGUUGAAACAGUGAACUUUCAAACUUCAAUUAUUCAGUAUUAUGAUAGUGUCAAUUGUUCCAAUAACCUUGAGCUGGCCCAGAUGCAGAUGCGGUUCUAAUUAGCUCAUGGUCUUGGCGCAGCUUGAUGGGGAUGAUGAAAAUGAAGGGAGCACAACUCACCAAAGGUCACAUGGAAGUGGCUGCUUGUAGAGGAGGAGAUCAAUUGACUUCAGUUGCUUAGCCUAUAUGUGUAUGUAUGAGCGCCUGUUCACCAUGUAUCUCAAUGUAUUAUAUGUAUAUUUUAUGAAUUGGGUUAUUAUCUACUGCUAUGUCACUGCAGUUCAAUGUAUAGCAGUUUAAAAUCCCUCCUAAUCUUGUACUCUAAUAAUUUAAAUUUCAUAGAAAUCAUUAAUCUA